AUUUGAAUUGACGCAAUUUAACAGAGGAAAAAAUGGAGGAGGGAAGGGAUUAUUUGAGUAUUAUAUCUAUUUCAAGUCAGAAGUCCUCAUCAAUACUAAAGCCUACUCAUCAUCAUUCAUGUCAAGGUCUGAGUAGUCCACCAUGGCAUAGUCAUAUCCCUCAGCUAUCCACUACUCUGCUCUGCUUUACUUUAUUUUAUGUUUUACAGUGGGUCUUUCCUGCUGUGAAGGCCCUGAAGCACUGGAAUUCAACUCCUCAGACGUCCACUUCAAGGUGGUGUCAGACGGGGAGGUCAGAGUUCAUAGAGCUCUGGGGGACAGACCCAGACACUUCAGCGUCUACCUCCUGGGUCAAAGGGUAGGAGCGUCACUGCGGCCCAGAUACUGGUGACCUAUAGCCCUGAGGGUCGUUGUCAUGGUGAUCGUCAUCACCAUGGAAAGGUGGGCAGAUUACCUGGUCCAGUUCAGGGUGAGCCCUUCCCAGCGGUCCCUGUGCUGGAGUUCCCACAAUCCAGUGCGAGACAGAAGAGGAGGAAGAGGGAUUGGGUCAUCCCUCCAAUCAAUGUAGCCGAGAAUGGCAGGAGCCCCUUCCCCAAUCCUAUAGUGCAGGUAUGUGUCUGUUACACACAAACACACACAGGUACCUCCUCUAUGUUGAAGACUGCUGUGUGUUUCCUAUGUUGUUCAGAUCAGGUCCAGUAACGAUAAGGCAGUGAAAAUGUUUUAUAAGAUUACAGGCCAGGGGGCAGACCAGGAUCGAGAGGAUUUAGGAUCGAGAGGAACACAGGUUGUCUGUCUGUCACGGAACCCUUGGAUCGGGAGCAACAGGCCAAAUACACCAUAUAUGCCCAUGCCGAAGCAGAUGGGAUGGAUUUGUCUGAAGAGCACAUGGAGAUCAUCAUCAACGUCAUCGAAUUGAACGACAACAAACCACAUUAGGCCGCACAAAUAGGAUAUGAGUUUAUGAAGGUAUAUGCCACAGAUGCAGAUGAGCCUGGUCAGGACAGUUCUGAUAUCCGCUACAGCAUCCGCAGCCAGGAUCUAACUCUACCCAGCAACCUCUACUUUAUUAACACUGUGACUGGAGGAAUAAAGGUGGCUGCCCCGGGCCUGGACAGAGUGGUAGGAAGGUGUGUGUGUGUGUGUGUGUGUGUGUGUGUGUGUGUGUGUGUGUGUGUGUGUGUGUGUGUGUGUGUGUGUGUGUGUGUGUGUGUGUGUGUGUGUGUGUGUGUGUGUGUGUGUGCGUGUGAGACUAUCUGUCCAUCUCGAUCUAUCUCCAGACCCAGCAGCAGUACAGGCUGGUGAUUGAGGCAGCUGAUAAUGCAGGGAAUGGCCUGAUAACUACCUGCCAGGUCCUCAUCACUGUAGCAGACAGCAACGACAAUGCACCCCAGUUUACACAAACAAUGGUAUAUCGAAGUUAUCGAAGCUUAACCAUGUAUUAGAUCGUAGGUAGGUAGUUAGCUGUAGUUAGGUAUUGUAUUUAU